rnacentral:rRNA from 1 species
GACGAACGCUGGCGGCGUGCUUAACACAUGCAAGUCGAACGGUGACGAGGAGCUUGCUCCUCUGAUCAGUGGCGAACGGGUGAGUAACACGUGAGCAACCUGCCCCAGACUCUGGGAUAACAGUUGGAAACAGCUGCUAAUACCGGAUACGAGACGGAGAGGCAUCUCUACCGUCUGGAAAGUUUUUCGGUCUGGGAUGGACUCGCGGCCUAUCAGCUAGUUGGUGAGGUAAUGGCUCACCAAGGCGACGACGGGGUAGCCGGCCUGAGAGGGCGACCGGCCACACUGGGACUGAGACACGGCCCAGACUCCUACGGGAGGCAGCAGUGGGGAAUAUUGCACAAUGGGCGAAAGCCUGAUGCAGCGACGCCGCGUGAGGGAUGAAGGCCUUCGGGUUGUAAACCGUCUUUCAGCAGGAAGAAGCGAAAGUGACGGUACCUGCAGAAGAAGCACCGGCUAACUACGUGCCAGCAGCCGCGGUAA